AGUGAACGCUGGCGGUAGGCCUAACACAUGCAAGUCGAACGGCAGCACAGUAAGAGCUUGCUCUUACGGGUGGCGAGUGGCGGACGGGUGAGGAAUACAUCGGAAUCUACUUUUUCGUGGGGGAUAACGUAGGGAAACUUACGCUAAUACCGCAUACGACCUACGGGUGAAAGCAGGGGAUCUUCGGACCUUGCGCGAUUGAAUGAGCCGAUGUCGGAUUAGCUAGUUGGCGGGGUAAAGGCCCACCAAGGCGACGAUCCGUAGCUGGUCUGAGAGGAUGAUCAGCCACACUGGAACUGAGACACGUUCCAGACUCCUACGGGAGGCAGCAGUGGGGAAUAUUGGACAAUGGGCGCAAGCCUGAUCCAGCCAUACCGCGUGGGUGAAGAAGGACUUCGGGUUGUAAAGCCCUUUUGUUGGGAAAGAAAAGCAGCAGGUUAAUACCCCGCUGUUCUGACGGUACCCAAAGAAUAAGCACCGGCUAACUUCGUG
rnacentral:rRNA from 1 species